CUCUACUUAAUUCUUAUAUUCAUGGAAUAUAUUUAAGAUGGUGUGUAUAAGAGGUACAUAUAUUUUAGGUGUUUGGUGAAUUCUAAUAAAUUACUUGUAACUAAUUUCAUAACCGAAGGAACAUCAACUACGAGAUGAAGUUAAAAGCCAAGAUUUUAAAAUAAAACAUAGAUUUAAGUAUUUACACUCUCCACCUUUAUAAAUAGAUAACUGAUUGUUGUACUAAGCUUGUAGUAAUCAUGAAUAAGGCACACAUUCCAUUGUUUUUUAGUUUGCUUAUUCUCCUUCCUUAUGAGAUGAUGGCAAACUUAACAGGAAUUCGAUGCAUCGAGAAAAAAUGCAAAUUGUUUUGUCUUUUUCAACAUCUUUUAGAUGGUUAUUGCGCAUCUCCUUACGAGUGCUCAUGCGUGGCCCAACACGUUGAUUGAGCAUACAACCUUAUUUAUAUUAUCUCUAGAUUUCGUUGUUUCUGUUUCUUUGAAUGUAUUAUGGUGUUUAUGUAUACCCUUUAAUUAUAAUCACAUGUACCUCUCGUUUUAUUUUAAUUAGUCUUAAUAUAUUUUCAAUUAAAUAGUGAAAUUUCUUCAUUUUAUUUCAA